rnacentral:rRNA from 1 species
AGUGAACGCUGGCGGCGUGGUUAAGACAUGCAAGUCGAGCGACCCAUUCUUCGGAAUGGGGAGCGGCGAACGGGUGCGUAACACGUGAGUGACCUGCCUUUAAGUGGGGGAUAACCCGUCGAAAGACGGAUUAAUACCGCAUGUGGUCCUAUAUUUAAAUAUAUGGGUACUAAAGCUUGUGAAGGCGCUUAAAGAGGGGCUCGCGGCCUAUCAGCUAGUUGGUGAGGUAAUGGCUCACCAAGGCUAAGACGGGUAGCCGGUCUGAGAGGAUGAUCGGCCACACUGGAACUGAGACACGGCCCAGACUCUUACGGGAGGCAGCAGUGGGGAAUCUUGGACAAUGGGGGAAACCCUGAUCCAGCCAUGCCGCGUGAGUGAUGAAGGCCUUAGGGUCGUAAAACUCUUUCGCUGGGGAAGAUAAUGACGGUACCCAGUAAAGAAACCCCGGCUAACUCCGUGCCAGCAGCCGCGGU